rnacentral:rRNA from 1 species
AUUGAACGCUGGCGGCAGGCCUAACACAUGCAAGUCGAACGAGUGGCGGACGGGUGAGUAAUGUCUGGGAAACUUCCUGAUGUAGGGGGAUAACUACUGGAACCGGUAGCUAAUACCGCCUACCAUCCUAUGUGCCCAGAUGGGAUUAGCUUGUUGGUGGGGUAACGGCUCACCAAUGCGACGAUCCCUAGCUGGUCUGAGAGGAUGACCAGCCACACUGGAACUGAGACACGGUCCAGACUCCUACGGGAGGCAGCAGUGUGGAAUAUUGCACAAUGGGCGCAAGCCUGAUGCAGCCAUGCCGCGUGUAUGAAGAAGGCCUUCGGGUUGUAAAGUACUUUCAGCGGGGAGGCGUUACCCGCAGAAGAAGCACCGGCUAACUCCGUGCCAGCAGCCGCGGUAAUUC